rnacentral:rRNA from 1 species
UACGGGGGGGGCAAGCGUUGUUCGGAAUUACUGGGCGUAAAGGGCUCGUAGGCGGCCAACUAAGUCGGAUGUGAAAUCCCCAGGCUCAACCUGGGAACUGCAUCCGAUACUGGAUGGCUUGAAUCCGGGAGAGGGAUGCAGAAUUCCAGGUGUAGCGGUGAAAUGCGUAGAUAUCAGGAGGAACACCGGUGGCGAAGGCGGGUCUCUGGGCCGAUACUGACGCUGAGGAGCGAAAGCGUGGGGAGCGAACAGG